UUCUGGGUAGGCCUGAACUGCCAUCCUGUUAUAAAUCCUUCCCACAAAGCACUGGAGACUGGUGCUCGCGCUGUGCCAAGAAGUCUUUCUCUGACCAUCUGUAAUCCAUUCAGAGGCAACUGGCAGGAAAUGGCAGCAAGGAAAACCCCAGCGCCACGCAACUGGUGGGACCACCUCUCCUCGAGCUCCCGGCCGGCAACAGGAAGUGGGCCCUUCUCGGGACACAGAACAUCUGUGGGGGUUCUGGAAGCUGCUGGGUGGCUGUCAGGGGGCUCCACAGGCCCGAGACAGAUGCUCACAAAAUUUGGUUCAAUUAGAUCACAAUUUCAAGUAGUUCAAAUCCGCUCGCUGUGGCUCCCCCUCCAAUCUGGCAUUGUCAGCUGCUUCUUCCUAUUAGUGACGGUCUCACUUUUUGGCACUAAAAACAGAGGCCCUCAACGCAUUGCAGUGGUGAGCUGGGUCCAGCAUGGACGCGUGCAAGAGCCCAUUGUUAAAUUUUCAGGAAUAUGCAAGGAAGUCACUCUCGUCACCAAAGAUCCAGUGAAGUUCCAACACGCGUCUUUGUUCUUUCACUUUCAUCUUACCCACUGAUUUACAUGAAAAUAUCAACCAACAUACUUAUAUCGGAGCUAUACUUGUUUGUCAAGUUCGAUUUCAGGUUGGCCAGAUCCCAGAGUUUGGCAAAAAUCAACAAAAGCAUUCUGUUAGAAUAA